rnacentral:tRNA from 1 species
UCCCUGGUGGCUCAGAGGUUAAAGCGUCUGCCUGCAAUGCAGGAGACGUGGGUUCGAUCCCUGGGUUGGGAA